CACUAUCUUUCCAUCUUUCAUUUUUGUUGCUGUGUAGUUGGCUAUUUUCAAUAACUUCGUAAUAAUUUGUUUUUCUCUUGGUCUCACAUUAUUAUCCAAACUCCUAAACUCUCCUUCUUUCUCCUCUGCAAAUUCUGCCUACUCCCCCCUUAAAAAAGCCCUGCGGAAGAAGACUGUUAGGUCGAAACGUAUUCAGGGUUCCCUGUCCUACUCAUUUUCAAUCUCUCGCCUUUAUCGUAUCGCACAAAAUAUUUCACCUUUUUUAGUUCCUAUAUAAAUCGUAGUUUCCACAGUUUAUUACGUAUAUGUUCACCAUAGAAGUCGGAGUAAAGGCGCUGUUACACUAAGCAACUUGCCUCGGAACUUGUCUUGCAAUGUUAAGAAAAGCGAUUUCAGGUCGUUGC